rnacentral:lncRNA from 1 species
AACUACACCUUUACAAACUAGGAAGUCCUUCAUGAUCAACAUGAAUGAAAGGACAAAGUACUAGGAAGGUGUUUAUGGAUGUUUUUAUGGUGGUGAUGAUGGUGGCUCCGAUUAGGUUCCUUCUCAAUCCUCCACCGUAUAUGGAGGAAGUCGUCGACGGAGCAAGGUAGCUUUAAAGGUCCAUCAACAUGGUAGCCAUACACAUCAUGAGCUUUAUCAAGAAGCUUUUGUAGAAGAGGGUGAUAUAAAUAUGAAAUUGGAAUAACAAUUUUUUGAAUACCACCAUCUUCUUCUUCUAAUCCUACUUGAAUUGCUAACCAUCCCUUUUUCACUUUCAUCUUGUAAUUCUUGUAUAUUAUUCUUUCCUUUUUUUUUCUUCCUUUUAUCGGAAUGUAUGGAGAAGUUAGUGUAUAGUGAGUGGUGAGUAGCUAGGAGAAUAUUUUUAUGUUUGUGUAGUAAUAUAUGAUGUUAUGUGUGUAUAUAUAAGGUUGUGAAUAAUAAAAUGUGGUGACUAUUCUUUUAUAAUUUUUAUGGAAAGAGUUAUGAUAAUUAAUAAUAUAUAUGUUAGUUGGAGAAUGGCUUAGUGGAGCCCUUUCAUUGAGAGAAAAAAGAAAAUAUAAAAUUGACUAAUUUCUUAAGGAGUUAAUAGAUGAUGAAGUUAGGUGUUAAGAAUAAACAUAAAUUAGAACUACCAUAAACGACCAAUAACAAUAAUAAUCACAAUUUUUUUAGGUACAUAUUAAUUAAAUUUGGUAUUUAAAAAUAGAUCGAGCGAAAAAAUAAAUCUAUUUGGCUUACAAUCACAUAACUUACAGUGACAUGUUUUAAACCAUACAAGUUUUAGGCAUAACUCGUUUAAUUAUUCUGUGAUUGACAUUAAUAAAAUUUAUAUGUGGCCGCGAGAAAAUCUUGUAUGUUGCAAAUCUUAUAACGAAGAAGCAAUUUGAAGCGUUCUAAAUUUAAAAUGAAUACUAACUUGUCGCAUAGGGCUUGCCUAGUGCGGUUUAUAUUUCCUGUGUGGUUUGCAGGCUAUUACACAGUGUGGGUUUACCCAGUGCGCACAAAGUGCUCACCACAUAGUGCUCACCCGAAGGGCAGAGGCUGUGGCAGAUGUUAUAAUGGCUACGGGUUAUCCUGGGGUUCCAAAAAAAAAAAGACAUGUAACUAGUGACACAAACCUCAACGGGGACGUUAAAUCUCUCAAACUAACAUUAUACACAAAUUUCAUUUCGAUUUUAGUAAAAAAAUGUGAAGUGUGUCGGCCGUACCAAAUAAGGAUUACGGAAUCUUUUUGAGAUUUUAUUUUGCAGUUAUACCCUUUUGGUCGGCAUUGGAUUUUAAAAGUGGUCCCUCUUUUUUAUUGUAUUGUUACAUUUAGGUUUAUAAGUUUAGUUUAUUGUUCUAUUCUCAUUUAUUGUCUUCCACAAAUUUUAUAGUGGAGGCAAAGAGAAUGAUAUAGUUUGAAAAUCUAUGUCACACAUGUCAAUCACUAGAGGUGUUCAAUCUAUUUAUGUUUAUAAAAUCAAAAUUUUGAUUUCUUUGUCAAAUUUGAGUAAACUACUAGUUCAUGCACCUAAUCAUGAUUAAUCAUUAUAUUCAAUCAAAUCAACAAUAUUCGUAUAUUGAUAAUAUUUUGAGUAACUUGUUAAUUUGUAAAUUUAUAUCAAAAUGUAUAUUAGUUGUAAAGUUUCUACAUAAUAGUGUAUGCAAGUAGAUUUUAGAAGUUUAAAUUAAGAACUUAUGAAUUACUUGUGAUUUAAAGUAAGAAUCAAAUCUAUACAGUUUUGCUUUGAAUUAAGUGCCUUCUUUGCCACUUUCAAAUUAAUCCCACAAACCUCUUAUUGAUCAUCCUUUUUGAGAGAUGUUAAAGGAGCAAAUUUAAUUUUAAAAAAAACUCACUUUGAACUUAAGAAUAAUCAGAAUCGAACUGAUAACUUUCACCACAUCAAAAUAACACUAUAUCGCUAAGUUAUAUCCCUUUUCCACCUAACCAAUAAUAAGAACUAAUUAUUGUAGGUAGACUAGUAAGACAACAAUAGUCAAAUAUAUGAUUCUUAAUCUACAAAAUCAAAAUAUAAAAUAUGGUUAUUGAUUAUCUAUUGUCAUUAUUCAUACAAUACCCCCUAUCGAAUACCAUAAAACCAUUGUUAUCACAUGUAUACUUAUUUUAUAUUUUCAUCUUAUUUCUUUUUUUAAUACACAAUUAAUUAGCAUUUGACAAAGAAAUGCCUUAUUUAUGCUCUAUUUUUCAACAUUUCUAUAUUUAAAAAAAUCAUAUACGAGGUAUAACAACUGUAUUACAUUAUCUUUAGUGCUUGUUUAAAUGUGCAUAAGUUAAAAAUAUCUUAUAAAGUUGUGGGAUUUAGGUUUUGUUAAUUAAACAAUUUUCUAUAUAAUUAACCUUUCAUUACUUUGAAUUAUCAUAUCAAACCAAACACCUUAUCAUAUCGAAGAUUGUCAUGACCUAUACCAUAUUGAAAAGGCAGUAUCAAACUAUAUAUUAAUUAUGUUUAUAAAUAUAUUAGUAAGUCAAAUAUAAUUAACGUACGUAUGUAAACUAAAGUUUUGCUUAGUCAUAAUACAACCAACACACACACACACACACACAUAUAUAUAUAUAUAAUAUCGUACGUAACAAAUGUUGUAGUACGUACCUUCCACUAAUUAACUUGCCUACAACACAAAAAGGGAAAAUUAAAGUGGAUGAUGAUAGUUGAUACACACACAUAAUUACAAGACUAGUGGAUUUUAUAACUUUUUUGGCUGGAUAACUUUAAUUUUCAAAGCUAAUUAGACAACUUUUACUGUCUACUUUAAUUUUCUUUAUUUAUUAGAGUAUUAUUUCAUCUUUUUCUUUGAUACAAAUUAAAUGGAGAGAAAUAAUUAAGUGAUGGUUUGUACGGUGGAAGUCAUUUUUCCUAAAAUAAUAUUUUGAAAAUUAUCUUAUGUUAUUUGAAUAAAGGUGAGUGGAAAUAUUUUUUUCUCAAAAUAUAAGUAUAUUAAAGACCAAUAGUAAUAUCAGAAAUAGAGGUAAAUUCAUUAUUUAAGUUCUCUUAGUACUCAACCAAUUAUAAUGUUUUUAAAGUUACGCUAUUAACAAUUUUAGUGAUUUUUUUCAUAUAAGCAUAUAUUCUGCGUUAAAAGUACUAAUUUAGAUGAAUUCGAUAUCAUACAUUGAAUAUCUAUCAUUGAUAAGAAAAUUGGAGAAUGUUUUUGAUAGAUUUUGUGAAUGAUAAUAUUAAUAAUGUUUAAGUUAUACAUUUUUGAUAUAUACGAGGAAAGUCAUGAUUUUUUUUUCAGAAAAAUGAAAUCCAACAUAUUAAAUAACAUAAACUGAUUUUCUUCAUGUCAAACACACGCUAACGCUAAAUAAAAAUUUAUUUAGCUCUUGAAAUAUCUAAGGGUCAUUUAAUAAAGAUUUGACCUAACUUUUACUGUUAAUAACAAAUUUUCUUUAAGUAAACCUACAACUCAUUAGUUAAUUCCAAUAAUUGAUCUAAUUUGUAACUAAUCGUAUAGUAUUGAUCUAGUUUGUAUCUAAUCGUAUAGUAAAAAGUCAAAUUAGCAAAACAUUUCUCAUGAUUAGUGUCAGAACAUUGAACACGAAAGUAAAAUAAGAAUACAAUUCAUCUUUCGAAUUAAGUUUAUUAUUUUCUCAAGAAAAAAAUGGAUUCUCAAAAUAAUGUGGGCACGUAUAAGGGUAUCUUCCAACCAAAAACAAGAAAAAAUAAGAAUGAAAUCAUUGCAAUUAUGAUCUUCGGUUGCUAAUAAACUUUAACUUCGAUCCUUAUGAUAUUUUACUAAGCAUAUGCAUAUUUGGACCUUUUAGAUUGUUUUUAGGAAUUUGUUAUAUGUAUAUAUUAUACCAAAUAUGAAGUAAACAGUCCGAAUUUCACAAGCAAAAUAAUUAAAAGUGCUUGUUUCAAUAAAUUGAAAACUAAAUGUGUUUAACAAGAUAGUACAAUAACAAAAGUCAAAAUUUCCCAAGAAAAAAUAAAUUAGACCUUAAUUACAAGGAAACCUUAGUACUAUAAUUUAAUUAACAUGAGUGAAAAGACAAAGAACUAGAAAGAUAUUGGUGGUGAUGAUGGUUGUGAUUGUUUUUGUGAUGGUGGCUCCGAUUAGGCUCCUUCUCAAUCCUCCACCUUAUAUGGAGGAAGUCGUCGACGGAGCAAGGUAGCUUUAAUGGUCCAUCAACAUGGUAGCCAUAGACAUCAUGAGCUUUAUCAAGAAGCUUUUGUAGAAGAGGAUGAUAUAGAUAUGAAAUUGGGAUAACAAAUUUUUGAAUACCACCAUCUUCUUCUUCUAGUCCUACUUGAAUUGCUA